ACGGCCACUCCGAAUUUUACCGAGUUGGUGGUAGCCCUCCAUGCGUGGGCGUUCUGAGUUCCUUUUCUGUAAAUAUUGAGCUUCGCUAGUUCUGAAAUUACUUAUGCUUUUGUGCUCUGCUACAAAGUGUCAGAAUAAGUUUAGCGUUGUGUAAUUGGAACUCACUGAUUUUUAUAGGUUCCGGCAUUCUACAACCCCAACAAAAACAUCUUUUUUCCUCAUUUGAACGUUGAGGUCAGCGUGGGAGGCUACGUACUUUGGUAUGGAGCGUGGCUUCCGGGGAUAGACGUUGCAGCACAAAACAACCAUGGAACACGCUUAGCUGGUGCAGUGCAGAGUCCUCAGUUUGGCGAGUUGACGUUGCUGCUCAAAUUCUACAAGGACGGCUGUAUCUUGUCGAAUGCCGACGACACAACGAAUAUACCAAGACUGUCGGCUUCUUUCAAAAGCAUCAGCUUGGAUGAACUCUACGUCAAGCCCGAUCCGGUGUCUUUCUACGAGUUUAAAGCUGUGACGGGGUAUAUAAAUUACUAGCAGCCUACUUCUCGGAGAACCGCAACAGCACCAGACAGUAGCGGCUGGCCGAAUCAAGAUAUUCCGUUGCUU